rnacentral:tRNA from 1 species
GGUUUCAUAGUGUAGUGGUUAGCACUCCAGACUUUGAAUCUGGCGACCUGGGUUCGAAUCCAGGCGAGACCU